rnacentral:rRNA from 1 species
GAUCAUGGCUCAGAAUCAACGCUGGCGGCGCGCUUAACACAUGCAAGUCGGACGAGAAAGGGAGCAAUCCUGAGUAAAGUGGCGUACGGGUGAGUAACGCGUGGGUAAUCUACCCUUUGGUGGGGAAUAACCCUGGGAAACCGGGGCUAAUACCGCAUAAGACCGCAAGGUGAAAGGAGAAAUUCGCCAAAGGAGGAGCCCGCGGCUGAUUAGCUAGUUGGUAGGGUAAAGGCCUACCAAGGCUUCGAUCGGUAG